CCUACGGGUGGCUGCAGUGGGGAAUAUUGGACAAUGGGGGGAACCCUGAUCCAGCCAUGCCGCGUGUGUGAAGAAGGCCCUCGGGUUGUAAAGCACUUUCAGUGAGGAAGAACGCCUGGUGGUUAAUACCCAUCAGGAAAGACAUCACUCACAGAAGAAGCACCGGCUAACUCCGUGCCAGCAGCCGCGGUAAUACGGAGGGUGCGAGCGUUAAUCGGAAUUACUGGGCGUAAAGCGCGCGUAGGUGGCUUGAUAAGCCGGUUGUGAAAGCCCCGGGCUCAACCUGGGAACGGCAUCCGGAACUGUCAAGCUAGAGUGCAGGAGAGGAAGGUAGAAUUCCCGGUGUAGCGGUGAAAUGCGUAGAGAUCGGGAGGAAUACCAGUGGCGAAGGCGGCCUUCUGGACUGACACUGACACUGAGGUGCGAGAGCGUGGGUAGCAAACAGGAUUAGAUACCCGUGUAGUC
rnacentral:rRNA from 1 species